rnacentral:rRNA from 1 species
GGGCCCGCACAAGCGGUGGAGCAUGUGGUUUAAUUCGAUGAUACGCGAGGAACCUUACCAGGGCUUAAAUGGGAGAUGACAGGGGGCAGAGACGCCCUUUUCUUCGGACAUCUUUCAAGGUGCUGCAUGGUUGUCGUCAGCUCGUGCCGUGAGGUGUCAGGUUAAGUCCUAUAACGAGCGCAACCCCUACCGUUAGUUGCCAGCGAUUCAAGUCGGGGACUCUAACGGGACUGCCGGUGCAAACCGUGAGGAAGGUGGGGACGACGUCAAAUCAUCACGGCCCUUACGUCCUGGGCUACACACGUGCUACAAUGGUCGGUACAGAGGGAAGCUACCCCCGUAAGGGGAUGCGGAUCUAUAAAACCCGAUCUCAGUUCGGAAUCGGGGUCUGGCAACUCGACCCCGUGAAGCUGGAAUCGCUAGUAAUCGCGCAUC